GGGGAAUUUUCCGCAAUGGGCGAAAGCCUGACGGAGCAAUACCGCGUGAGGGAAGACGGCCCAUGGGUUGUAAACCUCUUUUUUCAGUGAGGAAACAAAUGACGUGUAGCUGAAGAAUAAGCAUCGGCUAACUCCGUGCCAGCAGCCGCGGUAAGACGGAGGAUGCAAGUGUUAUCCGGAAUCACUGGGCGUAAAGCGUCCGCAGGUGGAACUUCAAGUCUGCUGUNNNNGAGUUUGGCUCAACCAAACAAAGGCAGUGGAAACUGAAGAACUAGAGUACGUUCGGGGUAGAGGGAAUUCCUGGUGUAGCGGUGAAAUGCGUAGAGAUCAGGAAGAACACCGGUGGCGAAAGCGCUCUACUAGGCCGUAACUGACGCUGAGGGACGAAAGCUAGGGGAGCGAAUGGGAUUAGAUACCCCAGUAGUC
rnacentral:rRNA from 1 species